GACGAACGCUGGCGGCGUGCUUAACACAUGCAAGUCGAACGGAAAGGCCCUGCUUUUGUGGGGUGCUCGAGUGGCGCACGGGUGAGUAACACGCGAGUAACCUGCCCUUGACUUUGGGAUAACUUCAGGAAACUGGGGCUCAUACCGGAUAGGAUCUCCUGCUGCAUGGUGGGGGUUGGAAAGUUUCGGCGGUUGGGGAUGGACUCGCGGCUUAUCAGCUUGUUGGUGGGGUAGUGGCUUACCAAGGCUUUGACGGGUAGCCGGCCUGAGAGGGUGACCGGCCACAUUGGGACUGAGAUACGGCCCAGACUCCUACGGGAGGCAGCAGUGGGGAAUAUUGCACAAUGGGCGGAAGCCUGAUGCAGCAACGCCGCGUGCGGGAUGACGGCCUUCGGGUUGUAAACCGCUUUCGCCUGUGACGAAGCGUGAGUGACGGUAAUGGGUAAAGAAGCAACGGCUAACUACGUG
rnacentral:rRNA from 1 species